UACGUAGGGUGCGAGCGUUAAUCGGAAUUACUGGGCGUAAAGCGUGCGCAGGCGGUUUUGUAAGCCAGAUGUGAAAGCCCCGGGCUUAACCUGGGAAUGGCAUUUGGGACUGCAAGGCUUGAGUGCGGCAGAGGAGACUGGAAUUCCUGGUGUAGCAGUGAAAUGCGUAGAUAUCAGGAGGAAUACCGAUGGCGAAGGCGGUUCUCUGGGCCUUACCUGACGCUGAGGAGCGAAAGCGUGGGGAGCGAACAGG
rnacentral:rRNA from 1 species